AAUUCAGUCAAACUCCGAAUGCCAAUGACUUAUCCUUAGGAGUCAGACUGCGAGUGAUAAGAUCCGUAGUCAAGAGGGAAACAGCCCAGAUCGCCAGCUAAGGUCCCAAAGUGUGUAUUAAGUGGAAAAGGAUGUGGAGUUGCUUAGACAACUAGGAUGUUGGCUUAGAAGCAGCCACCAUUUAAAGAGUGCGUAAUAGCUCACUAGUCGAGUGACUCUGCGCCGAAAAUGUACCGGGGCUAAAUACACCACCGAAGCUGCGAAUUGAUACCAAUGGUAUCAGUGGUAGGGGAGCGUUCUAAGUGCAGUGAAGUCAGACCGGAAGGACUGGUGGAGCGCUUAGAAGUGAGAAUGCCGGUAUGAGUAGCGAAAGACGGGUGAGAAUCCCGUCCACCGAAUGCCUAAGGUUUCCUGAGGAAGGCUCGUCCGCUCAGGGUUAGUCAGGACCUAAGCCGAGGCCGACAGGCGUAGGCGAUGGACAACAGGUUGAUAUUCCUGUACCACCUCUUUAUCGUUUGAGCAAUGGAGGGACGCAGAAGGAUAGAAGAAGCGUGCGAUUGGUUGUGCACGUCCAAGCAGUUAGGCUGAUAAGUAGGCAAAUCCGCUUAUCGCGUAUGCUGAGCUGUGAUGGGGAAGCUCCUUAUGGAGCGAAGUCUUUGAUUCCCCGCUGCCAAGAAAAGCUUCUAGCGAGAUAAAAGGUGCCUGUACCGCAAACCGACACAGGUAGGCGAGGAGAGAAUCCUAAGGUGUGCGAGAGAACUCUGGUUAAGGAACUCGGCAAAAUGACCCCGUAACUUCGGGAGAAGGGGUGCUUUCUUAACGGAAAGCCGCAGUGAAUAGGCCCAAGCGACUGUUUAGCAAAAACACAGGUCUCUGCGAAGCCGUAAGGCGAAGUAUAGGGGCUGACACCUGCCCGGUGCUGGAAGGUUAAGGAGAGGGGUUAGCGUAAGCGAAGCUCUGAACUGAAGCCCCAGUAAACGGCGGCCGUAACUAUAACGGUCCUAAGGUAGCGAAAUUCCUUGUCGGGUAAGUUCCGACCCGCACGAAAGGUGUAACGAUUUGGGCACUGUCUCAACCAGAGACUCGGUGAAAUUAUAGUACCUGUGAAGAUGCAGGUUACCCGCGACAGGACGGAAAGACCCCGUGGAGCUUUACUGUAGCCUGAUAUUGAAUUUUGGUACAGUUUGUACAGGAUAGGCGGGAGCCAUUGAAACCGGAGCGCUAGCUUCGGUGGAGGCGCUGGUGGGAUACCGCCCUGACUGUAUUGAAAUUCUAACCUACGGGUCUUAUCGACCCGGGAGACAGUGUCAGGUGGGCAGUUUGACUGGGGCGGUCGCCUCCUAAAGUGUAACGGAGGCGCCCAAAGGUUCCCUCAGAAUGGUUGGAAAUCAUUCGUAGAGUGCAAAGGCAUAAGGGAGCUUGACUGCGAGACCUACAAGUCGAGCAGGGACGAAAGUCGGGCUUAGUGAUCCGGUGGUUCCGCAUGGAAGGGCCAUCGCUCAACGGAUAAAAGCUACCCCGGGGAUAACAGGCUUAUCUCCCCCAAGAGUCCACAUCGACGGGGAGGUUUGGCACCUCGAUGUCGGCUCAUCGCAUCCUGGGGCUGUAGUCGGUCCCAAGGGUUGGGCUGUUCGCCCAUUAAAGCGGUACGCGAGCUGGGUUCAGAACGUCGUGAGACAGUUCGGUCCCUAUCCGUCGUGGGCGUAGGAAAUUUGAGAGGAGCUGUCCUUAGUACGAGAGGACCGGGAUGGACGCACCGCUGGUGUACCAGUUGUUCUGCCAAGGGCAUAGCUGGGUAGCUAUGUGCGGAAGGGAUAAGUGCUGAAAGCAUCUAAGCAUGAAGCCCCCCUCAAGAUGAGAUUUCCCAUAGCGUAAGCUAGUAAGAUCCCUGAAAGAUGAUCAGGUUGAUAGGUUCGAGGUGGAAGCAUGGUGACAUGUGGAGCUGACGAAUACUAAUAGAUCGAGGACUUAACCAU
rnacentral:rRNA from 1 species